rnacentral:rRNA from 1 species
CUACGGGUGGCUGCAGUGAGGAAUUUUGCGCAAUGGGGGAAACCCUGACGCAGCAACGCCGCGUGAGUGAUGAAGGCUUUCGGGUCGUAAAACUCUGUCAAGUGGGAAGAACCUAUGUAAGGUUAAUACCCUUAUGUACUGACGGUACCACUGAAGGAAGCACCGGCUAACUCCGUGCCAGCAGCCGCGGUAAUACGGAGGGCGCAAGCGUUAUUCGGAAUUAUUGGGCGUAAAGGGCGCGCAGGCGGUUUUGUAAGUCAGAUGUGAAAGCCCGGGGCUUAACCUCGGAAGUGCAUUUGAUACUGCAAGACUUGAGUAUGGGAGGGGGAAGUGGAAUUCCUGGUGUAGAGGUGAAAUUCGUAGAUAUCAGGAGGAACACCAGUGGCGAAGGCGACUUCCUGGACCAAUACUGACGCUGAGGCGCGAAGGCGUGGGGAGCAAACAGGAUUAGAUACCCGGGUAGUC